CCGCCGCGGUGGUCCGGGGCGGACGCGGAGGCUCUCGGCUUCCGGGGCUGUCAUGCUCGCACGUCUCCUGUUCGGCCCUGCCCCGACGGG
rnacentral:tRNA from 1 species